UCAAUAAGCGGAGGAAAAGAAACCAACAGGGAUUGCCCUAGUAACGGCGAGUGAAGCGGCAACAGCUCAAAUUUGAAAUCUGGCUCUUUCAGGGUCCGAGUUGUAAUUUGCAGAGGGCGCUUUGGCGUUGGCAGCGGUCCAAGUUCCUUGGAACAGGACGUCACAGAGGGUGAGAAUCCCGUACGUGGUCGCUAACCUUCGCCGUGUAAAGCCCCUUCGACGAGUCGAGUUGUUUGGGAAUGCAGCUCUAAAUGGGAGGUAAAUUUCUUCUAAAGCUAAAUACUGGCCAGAGACCGAUAGCGCACAAGUAGAGUGAUCGAAAGAUGAAAAGCACUUUGGAAAGAGAGUCAAAUAGCACGUGAAAUUGUUGAAAGGGAAGCGCUUGCAGCCAGACUUGCCUGUAGUUGCUCAUCCGGGCUUUUGCCCGGUGCACUCUUCUGCGGGCAGGCCAGCAUCAGUUUGGGCGGUUGGAUAAAGGUCUCUGUCAUGUACCUCUCUUCGGGGAGGCCUUAUAGGGGAGACGACAUGCAACCAGCCUGGACUGAGGUCCGCGCAUUUGCUAGGAUGCUGGCGUAAUGGCUGUAAGCGGCCCGUCUUGAAACACGGACCAAGGAGUCUAACAUCUAUGCGAGUGUUUGGGUGUCAAGCCCGAGCGCGUAAUGAAAGUGAACGGAGGUGGGACCCCAUUAGGGUGCACCAUCGACCGAUCCUGAUGUCUUCGGAUGGAUUUGAGUAAGAGCAUGGCUGUUGGGACCCGAAAGAUGGUGAACUAUGCUUGAAUAGGGUGAAGCCAGAGGAAACUCUGGUGGAGGCUCGCAGCGGUUCUGACGUGCAAAUCGAUCGUCAAAUUUGGGCAUAGGGGCGAAAGACUAAUCGAACUAUCUAGUAGCUGGUUCCUGCCGA
rnacentral:rRNA from 1 species